rnacentral:rRNA from 1 species
UACAGAGGUCUCAAGCGUUGUUCGGAUUCAUUGGGCGUAAAGGGCGCGUAGGCGGCGGGGUAAGUCGGGUGUGAAAUCUCAGGGCUCAACCCUGAAACUGCAUUCGAUACUGCGGUGCUUGAGGACUGGAGAGGAGACUGGAAUUCAUGGUGUAGCAGUGAAAUGCGUAGAGAUCAUGAGGAAGACCAGUGGCGAAGGCGGAUCUCUGGACAGUUCCUGACACUGAGACACGAAGGCCAGGGGAGCAAACGGG